CCAUGGCCAGGGAACAGAAGUGGUUUCCAAAAGAUGUAUUAACAAGCUAAAUCUGCCAACAACGAAGACUUUUAAAAUAUUUACUACAUUACUUCUAAGGCAAUCAUUUCUGACAUGCUAGGAAGUAGCAUUAAAGCACUAUGGAAAAAGAAAACAUGGCAGGUUGUAUGUCAGUGAAGCAGACAAACAUAACUUUUCUUGCAAAAUCUCUGUUCAGCACAGCACCUAAGCAUCCACACUUUGCAGUCAGUGAUUAAAUUUGAACAUAUGCCCUAGUGUUUAUUGAAUCUGGUUCAUGAUACACACCCGGCAUCCAGAUGCAGACAGGGACAGAGGGCAGCCACGACUUCACUGUUCAAAGGCACCGGUCACCAUCAGGGCUGCAGGGAAGUGGGCAAGAAAGAGGCACCAGAGAUGAGUGCUCAACAGCACAGCUAAUGGAGCCAGCUGAGGAUGCCACUGUGUGCCUGGAGCAGUACACUCUGCUGUUCCUCUCUUUUUGCUGUUCCUCCUUUCUUAUCCCACUGCUGUUCAUACAUCCCCCAAAGCCUCUCAAACAGGCAAUAUUAUCCACCUCCUGCGUGACUUCCAAAGGUUGCAUUUACCAUUUCUGUAGCAAAAACUUAGGGUCUUUUAGUAAACUGGGUUAUUACUAUGCCUCAGAUCAAAAUAUUAAUUCAGGUUUAAUUCAGGUUUGAAUAAACUACUUUUAUAUGCCUCCUA